rnacentral:ribozyme from 1 species
AAGAAAAUAAAUAAGAAAAAAUGAAGUAUUUGGUUCGAUUUGCUUGUCGUUUCUACCCAUCCAAACCGUUUCUUUUUUUCUCUAGUGCUUGCUUGUUAUGUUA